UACGGGGAGGGCGAGCGUUAUUCAUAGUGAUUGGGCGUAAAGGGUGCGUAGGCGGCUUCUCAAGCUUUUAUUGAAAUGCCACGGCGCAACUGUGGUCUUUAAAAGGACUGUGAGGCUACGAGUUUAUCAGAAGUUAGCGGUACUUUUAGAGUAAAGGUAACAAUUGUUGAUACUAAGGGGACCCCCAAUAGCGAAGGCAGCUAACUAGGUUAAACUGACGCUCAGGCACGGAGGCAUGGGGAUCGAACAGG
rnacentral:rRNA from 1 species